rnacentral:rRNA from 1 species
CCCUUAGAUGUUCUGGGCGGCCCGCGCACUACAUUGGCACUAGCAAAGAGAUCCUAGAUUGAAUUCUUUGGGGUAUUCUUCUAAAUGGUGUCGUGACUGGGAUAAAUCCUUGUAAAUAUUGGUUUUGAACGAGGAAUUCCUUGUAAUCGCGGUUUAUCAGCUCGCGUUGAAUGCGUCCCUGCCCUUUGUACACACCGCCCGUCGCUCCUACCGAUGGAUCGUCCGGUGAAGCUCACGGAGUGACUGUUCACGCAACGGUUUACGAAGUGAAAUGGACCUCACGAUUUAGAGGAAGGAGAAGUCGUAACA